rnacentral:rRNA from 1 species
GUAAUGCCGGAUGCUCCAGUUGAUCGCAUGGUCUUCUGGGAAAGCUUUCGCGGUAUGGGAUGGGGUCGCGUCCUAUCAGCUUGACGGCGGGGUAACGGCCCACCGUGGCUUCGACGGGUAGCCGGCCUGAGAGGGCGACCGGCCACAUUGGGACUGAGAUACGGCCCAGACUCCUACGGGAGGCAGCAGUGGGGAAUAUUGCACAAUGGGCGCAAGCCUGAUGCAGCGACGCCGCGUGAGGGAUGGAGGCCUUCGGGUUGUAAACCUCUUUUAUCGGGGAGCAAGCGAGAGUGAGUUUACCCGUUGAAUAAGCACCGGCUAACUACGUGCCAGCAGCCGCGGUAAUACGUAGGGUGCAAGCGUUAUCCGGAAUUAUUGGGCGUAAAGGGCUCGUAGGCGGUUCGUCGCGUCCGGUGUGAAAGUCCAUCGCUUAACGGUGGAUCCGCGCCGGGUACGGGCGGGCUUGAGUGCGGUAGGGGAGACUGGAAUUCCCGGUGUAACGGUGGAAUGUGUAGAUAUCGAAGAGAGAAC